rnacentral:misc_RNA from 1 species
GAUGAAGAACGCAGCGAAAUGCGAUACGUAAUGUGAAUUGCAGAAUUCAGUGAAUCAUCGAAUCUUUGAACGCAUAUUGCGCUCUUUGGUAUUCCGAAGAGCAUGCUUGUUUGAGUAUCAGUAAACACCUCAAAGCUUUUGGAUUUUUUAAUCGAAAAGCUUUGGACUUGAGCAAUCCCAACACCAAUCUUUUUGAGAUCGGUGGCGGGUUGCUUGAAAUGCAGGUGCAGCUGGACAAUCUCCUGAGCUAAAAGCAUAUUCAUUUAGUCCCGUCAAACGGAUUAUUACUUUUGCUGCAGCUAACAUAAAGGGAGUUUGACCGUAUUGGCUGACUGAUGCAGGAUUUCACAAGGGUCGGCAACGAUUCUUGUUAAACUCGAUCUCAAAUCAAGUAAGACUACCCGCUGAACUUAAGCAUAUCAAUAAGCGGAGGA